UAGCUCAGUCGGUAGAGCAGCAGACUGAAAAUCUGCGUGUCGGCAGUUCGAUUCUGCC
rnacentral:tRNA from 1 species